rnacentral:tRNA from 1 species
GCGCCAGUAGCUCAGUUGGAUAGAGCAACGGCCUUCUAAGCCGUAGGUCGCUGGUUCGAGCCCAGCCUGGCGCG